GGCAAGGUGGCCGAGCGGUCCAAGGCGCCACGUUAAGGACUUUAUCCUUAAAAUAUACUCGUUGAGUUCCGUGGUCUCGAAAGGGGCGUGAGUUCGAAUCUCACCCUUGUCA